UCCCUGGUGGUCUAGUGGUUAGGACACAGCACUUUCACUGCAGGGGCCUGAGUUCUAUCCACAGUUGGGGAA
rnacentral:tRNA from 1 species